AUGGCGUCAGGAAUGCAACACAAAAAUGCGAUAAGCACAGCCACAGAGGGCUUGAUCCAAGCUCAACUUGAGCUCUACCACCACUCCUUGGGGUACGUGAAGUCUGCGGCGCUCAGGGCUGCCGCAGAACUAGGCAUCCCGGAUGCCAUCCAUCGCCACGGUGGUGUGGCCACGUUGUCUGACAUUGCCACAGAAACUGGGAUCCACCCAAGCAAGUACUCCCACCUCCGUCGGCUGAUGCACACGCUCACCGUCACGGGCAUCUUCUCCGUCGAAGGCUAUGACGAUGAUGCCGGGUACAAGCUCACUCUUGUCUCCAGCGUCCUUGUCGAAGGAGGCGAGAGCAUGUGCAACCUGUCUCCCAUGGUGCCUCUGCUUGUCGAACUGCUGAAGCUGACCAUGCUCUUCGACAUAAAAGUGUGGUUCACCGACGAGCAGGCGUCAGCCAUGACACUAUUUGAGGUGGCGCAUGGCUGCACACCAUCGGAAAUGAAAGCCAAGAAGGGCACAGGUGGCAUAUUCCAGGCCGCCAUGGUCGCCGACACCAACCUCGUCAUGGAGGUAGUCCUCAAAGAGCACAUGGGCAUUUUUAAGGGGGUGAACUCGCUUGUUGAUGCGGGCGGUGCCCAUGGUGCCGCAGCCGCAGCAAUCUCCAAGGCCCUCCCACACGUCAAGUGCACCGUGCUAGACCUCCCACACGUGAUUGCUGGCGCACCUACCAGCCGCGACGUCCAGUUUGUUGCUGGCGAUGUGUUUGAGUACAUACCACCAGCCGACGCUAUCCUUCUCAAGUGGAUUCUAUGCAUAUGGCGAGACGAAGAUGCCGUCAAGGUACUACGCCGGUGCAAGGAAGCUAUACCAGCUGGAGGGAAGGUGAUAAUCUUCGAUGGCGUGGUAGAUUCUGGGGCGUCACAGAAUGUUAUUCUUAAGGAGACACAAGUUCUAUUUGAUAUCAUGAUGAUGGGCAUCGAUGGGGUCGAACGAGACGAGCAGCAGUGGAAGAAGAUGUUCGUUGAAGCAGGAUUUGGGGACUAUAAGAUCAGUCCAGUGGGACAUCGGUCCAUCAUUGAAGUCUACCCAUGA
rnacentral:rRNA from 1 species